rnacentral:lncRNA from 1 species
CCAGAUUUUUUUUUCAUCCAUCCAGACCCUGAAUAUGUGCCUGAGUUCCCAAGUUUAAACAUCAUCUUGCCAACUUUAAAACAUUUGGCCGGUCAGCAGAAAAGGAAAAGCUGCUUGUAAAGCACCAGAAUGCGUAUUCAAUUAGUCACUACACUGCUUAAAAGGAGAAGCAUCAGGCACAGCGAGGGGAGGCAGGGGGGUGGCAGUGCUGGCAGAGAGGGACAGCGUGAGACAGUCUGGAUAAGAGGCUUUAUCAGCCCACAACAGCAGUCCUGAAGUUUGAGGCUACUCUUUAACAUAUAAGCUUUUGUUUAACAGCAGGCAGCCGUGGGACAGUGAGGUUUUCCUGGUAAGGAUUAACCUGUGUAAAAGAUGGCUUACAAACUUCUGGGAGGGAAGGAAGGAAGAAACACUGGCCAAUCUGGUUUUGUUGUGUUCCAAGCUGACAACCAGUGUUUCAUCAGCUCCACAAAGAAACAUAUGACAAUGCUCAGACCUGUACCAGGUGAGAAUCACUCUGUGCCACGAUGGUUUUAAGAGAGUGGUGGAGUAUCUGUAACCCUGGCUAUCCCCACCCCCAGAUCGUACCAGCAGUCUCACCAGCAGCAUUCCCUGCUGUCCUUAUCCUUACUGGAGACAAAGCAAAGGUGCUGCUUGGGAGGAUGUAAAAUCUAGAUAUCUGAACUUCAAGCCUUGUUUGCUAAAAUCUGCGGACAGAGCCCCAUACUAUUAUGUCCUGGCAGAUAAAAUGGUCACAAGGUGUUUUGGAACAAGGUCAUCUUUUAUCAAGGGCAGACUGUGCUGCUUUGGUACCAUAGAGACACCAGAAAUGGGAAGCUCUUGUGCAAACAGCAGCUGAGGUCACCCUAAAAGCAACACCUCAAGUU